rnacentral:rRNA from 1 species
UGGUGGGUAGUUUGACUGGGGCGGUCUCCUCCCAAAGAGUAACGGAGGAGCACGAAGGUUAGCUAAUCCUGGUCGGACAUCAGGAGGUUAGUGCAAUGGCAUAAGCUAGCUUGACUGCGAGCGUGACGGCGCGAGCAGGUGCGAAAGCAGGUCAUAGUGAUCCGGUGGUUCUGAAUGGAAGGGCCAUCGCUCAACGGAUAAAAGGUACUCCGGGGAUAACAGGCUGAUACCGCCCAAGAGUUCAUAUCGACGGCGGUGUUUGGCACCUCGAUGUCGGCUCAUCACAUCCUGGGGCUGAAGUAGGUCCCAAGGGUAUGGCUGUUCGCCAUUUAAAGUGGUACGCGAGCUGGGUUUAGAACGUCGUGAGACAGUUCGGUCCCUAUCUGCCGUGGGCGCUGGAGAAUUGAGGGGGGCUGCUCCUAGUACGAGAGGACCGGAGUGGACGCAUCACUGGUGUUCGGGUUGUCAUGCCAAUGGCAUUGCCCGGUAGCUAAAUGCGGAAGAGAUAAGUGCUGAAAGCAUCUAAGCACGAAACUUGCCCCGAGAUGAGUUCUCCCUGAGACUUUAAGUCUCCUGAAGGAACGUUAAAG